rnacentral:piRNA from 1 species
CGGGACUGCACACGUGCCUCCGUGUAAC